GACGUAGGGCGCGAGCGUUGUCCGGAUUUAUUGGGCGUAAAGAGCUCGUAGGCGGCUUGUCGCGUCGUCCGUGAAAACCCACAGCUCAACUGUGGGCUUGCGGUCGAUACGGGCAGGCUAGAGUUCGGUAGGGGAGACUGGAAUUCCUGGUGUAGCGGUGAAAUGCGCAGAUAUCAGGAGGAACACCAAUAGCGAAGGCAGCUCGCUGGGACGUUACUGACACUGAGGCGCGAAAGCGUGGGGAGCGAACAGG
rnacentral:rRNA from 1 species